AGAGGCACUGCCUGCCCAGUGACAUCUGUUCACGGCCGCGGUAUCCUGACCGUGCAAAGGUAGCAUAAUCACUUGUUCCCUAAAUAGGGACUUGUAUGAAUGGCCACACGAGGAUUUUACUGUCUCUUACUUCCAAUCAGUGAAAUUGACCUUCCCGUGAAGAGGCGGGAAUACUACAACAAGACGAGAAGACCCUAUGGAGCUUCAAUUAACUACUCCAAUAAAGACAAACUACAACCCACCCAGGGCCCAACUCCUCUUUAUCUGGACUAGCAAUUUAGGUUGGGGUGACCUCGGAGUAUAAAAAAACCUCCGAGUGAUCAAAAUUUAGACUAACCAGUCAAAACACAAUAUCACUUAUUGAUCCAAAAUUUGAUCAACGGAACAAGUUACCCUAGGGAUAACAGCGCAAUCCUAUUUAAGAGUUCAUAUCGACAAUUAGGGUUUACGACCUCGAUGUUGGAUCAGGACAUCCCAAUGGUGCAACAGCUAUUAAAGGUUCGUUUGUUCAACGAUUAAAGUCCUAC
rnacentral:rRNA from 1 species